UAAAAUUCACGUGUUGAAGGCCCAAGCCUCAGUGUGACCGUAUUUGGAGAUGGGCCCUUUAAGGAGGUGGUCAAGGUUAACUGAGGUCAUAAGGGUGGGGCCCUGAUCCAGUAGGACUGGCAUCCUUAUGAGAAGAGGGAGAGAGAAGACCAUGUGAGGACACAGUGGGAAGGCCGCUGUCUGCAAGCCAGGCAGGGAGCUCUCCCCGGAAACGGAACCUGCUGGCACCGUGAUCUUGGCCUCCAGCCUCCAGCACCCCGAGAGAUGAGUGCUAUGGCUAAUCGAGAUGGUAUUUUCUGCUGGAAGCAAGUAAGCAAGUUUCCCACAAACCAAGCCAGCUUCUCCCAGAAGACAGGCGUUCUCGCCGGCUCUGUGCGCUGUCUCAAAGAUCUCGGUCUGCACAAUGGGCGACACUGAGGCAAAAACUGGAAACAGCCAGAAGUCCUUCAAAGAGUGAACAGUAAACACGCCGGCCUGGGCCUGCCGUGGAACACGUGCCGCAACAAAGAACAAACUCUUGACCCGAGAGACAACCCGGGCUGCUUCAGAGAACGACGCUGAGUGCAAAAAGCCAAUCCCAAAAGCUGCCACACUGUUUGAGCUCACUUACAGGACUCUCCCAUGAUGACAGAAGUAUGGAGAUGGACAACAGACCAGUGGUUGCCAGAGGGUGGCGGGCACAGUGGGAGGGAGGUGGGUGUGGCCACAGGAGAACAGCUGGAGGGAUCCCUGACACGUGGGGACUGUCCAGGGUCUUGACUGUGGCGGUGGAUCCGCAAACCGACAUGGGUGAUAAAGUGCAGAGAACACCAGGGAAUGAGUACAAAUGACACCAGGGACAUCUGAGGGAGAUGGGUGGGUCUCCCUCCCAGGAUCUCUCUGGCUUAUUUCUUAGAACUGCAGGUGAAUCUACAACUAUCUCAAAAUAAAAGAUUUCAC
rnacentral:lncRNA from 1 species